CCGGUAUGUAAAGCGCGCCCACGUGGUGGGGAGCAGCGUGUGAUCUCAUGGACUCAGGGAGCUUCAUUUCAAAGAUGGAGGUUGGAGACCAGAUCAUAUCAUCUGUGAUGGAGGUUGGAGACCAGAUCAUUUAGAUCAUCUGUGAUGGAGGUUGGAGACCAGAUCAUUUAGAUCAUCUGUGAUGGAGGUUGGAGACCAGAUCAUUUAGAUCAUCUGUGAUGGAGGUUGGAGACCAGAUCAUUCACACCACACCAUGACGAAGGUGGAGGAGUCUGAACAUGUUCCACACACAGGUGGAUGAUGAUGAUGGAACUCGACCGGUGUGUUUAAACAGCAUUUCCGUUCCUGUAGCUGCAGUCUGGCUGUUUAGAGGAUCAUCACAUCAUAAAGUCUGUUCCUGAUGAUGAUGAUGAUGAGUUUUGGCAACACUUUUUUUUCCCCACUUAGUCAGGCAGUUAGUCAGGUUUGUUUUAGAUAAUCAGGUAAUAAUUAGUACACAGGUGAGUUUGGUCUCUCUCUUAUGUAUAAACUUUUUUUUUUAAUCCUUUUUUGAUUUCAAAUAAAGAUUAUCCCAGUA